GUGGGGAAUAUUGCACAAUGGGCGAAAGCCUGAUGCAGCAACGCCGCGUGAGCGAUGAAGGCCUUCGGGUCGUAAAGCUCUGUCCUAAGGGAAGAAAUUUGACGGUACCUUGGGAGGAAGCCCCGGCUAACUACGUGCCAGCAGCCGCGGUAAUACGUAGGGGGCAAGCGUUAUCCGGAAUCACUGGGCGUAAAGGGUGCGUAGGCGGUCUUACAAGUCAGGGGUGAAAGGCUACGGCUCAACCGUAGUAAGCCUUUGAAACUGUAGGACUUGAGUGCAGGAGAGGAAAGUGGAAUUCCUAGUGUAGCGGUGAAAUGCGUAGAUAUUAGGAGGAACACCAGUGGCGAAGGCGACUUUCUGGACUGUAACUGACGCUGAGGCACGAAAGUGUGGGGAGCAAACAGGAUUAGAUACCCUGGUAGUCCACACCGUAAACGAUGAGUGCUAGGUGUUGGGGGUCAAACCUCAGUGCCGCAG
rnacentral:rRNA from 1 species